GGACAAAUAGCUUAGUGGUAGAGCACCCAGACGUUUUAAUCUGGGUUGCAUAGGUUCGAUUCCUGUUUUGUCCA
rnacentral:tRNA from 1 species